UAUAAAAAUUUGCCGAAUUCCUUUAAUUUAUUUAUAAAAAAAUUUUAUUUUUUUUUUAUUAAUAUACUAAUUUUAUCAUUAUAACUAAUUUUUUUUUAUUAAAAAAUAUUUUUUUUAUAAAAAUUUAAAUAUUAAAUUAAAUUUUAUUUUAUUUAAAAUUAUUUAUAAAAAAUUAUAAUUUUUAAACAAUAUAAAUUUUAAAAAUUUUAAAUAUAAAUUUAAUUUUAUUAUAAUUAUCUAAAUUAAAGCUUAUCCCCUAAAAUAUUAAACAUUAAAUCUUUAUAAUUAAUUUAAAAAAUUAUAAAAUUAUUUAAAUUUAAAAUUAAAUUUUUUUCUAAAAAAACUAGAUAUAUUUAAAAACGAUUAACAUUUCAUCUCCAAUUAAUUAUUAAAAAUAAUUAUACAACAUUAACUUUAUUAAUUAAUUAACUCUUUUAAAUUCGAGAUUUAUUUAAAUAAAUUACUAUUAUUUAAUAAACUCUGAUACACAAGAUACAAUAAAUUAAAUUUACUUUUAAAUUAAUUAAAUCUCAAAUAUUUAUAAUUUCCCUUACAGUAAUAAUUUACUAUAAAACUAUUAAUUUUUUCUAUUAAAAAUACUUAAACCCCCAUUUUUUCUUUUUAAUAUUAAAAUUUUUUUUAUUAAACCCACUUUAUUAAUUUAACCCC
rnacentral:rRNA from 1 species